GAUGAGCACCAGGUGUCGGGGUCGCAAGACCUCGGUGCCGCAGUUAACGCAUUAAGUGCUCCGCCUGGGGAGUACGUUCGCAAGAAUAAAACUCAAAGGAAUUGACGGGGACCCGCACAAGCAGCGGAGCAUGUGGUUUAAUUCGAAGCAACGCGAAGAACCUUACCAGGGCUUGACAUCCUUCUGCCGUACCCGUAAAAGGGUAUUUCCUACGGGACAGAAGAGACAGGUGGUGCAUGGCUGUCGUCAG
rnacentral:rRNA from 1 species